CGGUCUGCCUAAAGGGCCGUGUCAUAAUGCUCCUAGCAUUGAAUAGAACAGUCCUUAGGUCUGCCUAGGUCUGCCUAAGGGGGGCCAUAAUAGAACCAGGAAACAAUGGGCCAAUGGAACCUCUCUCUCUCUCUACUCUCUCUGGUACUAUGAACACAAAACAGGAUUCCCCCCGCUGCACUUUAGGCCUAUAUUGAAGGCAACCACCGUUACAACAGACCCCUCCUUCACUUGGUCCCCUGAAAAUAAGAAAUUACAUUAACAUUGCAAUGAAGUUAUAAGAUUGCUUUACAAAACAUAUCACAUUUCACUACAUAACAGUUAUAUCGAGGGCCGUAAACGGGCCUGGAGACACACCGUACUAGGUUCCCCUCCCCUGGUCUACAUGCUGCCUCCUCACCUAAAUCCAUUCCCCUCUCCGUCCUUGCUUUCCUGCUAAAGUAAACGGUAUCGAUGAAUGUAUUGCCGUGUUCAUGUGUUUGAAAUAUAUUACUAAGCUUGCAACACCCUUUUUAAAAACAAAACAAAAACAAAGUGUGGUUCCAUGCAAGCACUCGCUACUAGAAUCAACAAUGCUGAACUGGGGUGCAUUUCUCAAAAGAGAAGUUGCUUGCCUGCUAGCAACUUCGGUAGUUGCCAAUGGGAAAAUGCAUUGAAAACAACAAAGUAGCUAAUGUAGUAAGCUACUUUGGUUUCGAGAAAUGCACCCCCGAGAUGUAACUGCUACUGAUAUCAAGAAUAUAAAAAAAAAUCAAAUCCACAACCACAGGACGCUUCAAGUCCUCCACCCUCCACCACACCCCAUCGUCUCCUGUUGCACCUGGACUGGACCAAGCUUCCAAAUCAGACUUCACAUCCGCCGCGUGCCACUUGGUGUGAUUACUGAAUGCUCUCUCGCAUCUCAUGUUUUGUGAAACACACUACUUUUAAUGUAUGUACAUUUUAGAAAAAAGAUAAAGACAUUCUCAAAUGCCAAUAAAAUGAUAUGAUAUAUCGUUCA